GACACUCCGGUGGCCAAGUGGUUAUAGCGUCCGCCUCGGAUGCGGGAGGUCGCGGGUUCGAAAUCCACCCGAGUCU